GGGACCUCUCUCGUUUGUACACAA
rnacentral:siRNA from 1 species